GUGACGGCUACGGCGAAGGGCUAUGCGUCAGCGCCAUAGCAUACGCCGGCGUUUGACGCAGAAGUAUAAAUCAGCCUUAAGUCAAGAACCAAAUGAAGCACCAGAGUACAGAUUAUGGAGGUAUCUGAAGUUGAACUAACUGGAAGCAGGGAACCAUACUAAUAAAGUUCCUUAAGCAGGUUCCUUGUAAAGAUUAACCCAGGGAAGGAUCGAAAGUGGAGAAGACCAGAUCAAGAAAGACUACAUCAAGAUCUGCGGUCAGUUCAAAGGAUGUUUUGCAUUGGACUGUUUUUUUUGGCUUUGACCCUUGCUUGCCCCUGACCUCACUCUUGGACUGCCCUGUUGGAUUUUCAGUUUAUUUAAUUAAAAAAAAAAAUUUUUGGUUAUGGGUAGAUGCUAAUAAAUAUUUAAUUGUAAUUAUUUAAUGUAAAUCAAAGGCGGCAACACCAAGGCUCCAAAAAUACAAAUUUAUUAAAUUAAAAAGGCUGACACAGAGCGUAAAAUGUUUCGAGCCGCCGGCUCUUCAUCAGACAAAUAAUUUUUCGUUGUAAUUUUUUAAAUAAUAUGUUUUUGUUAAAUAUGCGAUUUCUGUGUUUGUUCUGUCUACUCGAACUUGUUUAUCUGGUUUCUGUAAUUAUCAUUUGUUUAUUUGACCCUUGCCUCGCCUCUGAUCUUGUUUUUGGAUUGCCCUUCAUAUAUCUUUUUAAUUAUUGGUUCUAGUUAUAUGGUUAUAAAAUAUUUGUUAAUUUAAUUAAUAUGCAUUAUAUUAAAAAAUACAUAUAAAUAUAUUUUCUGUGUUUUUUU
ensembl:processed_transcript